CACGGCCAUAUCAUGUUGAAACAGUAGUUCCAGUACGAUUACCGAAGUUAAGCAACGUCGAGCCUGAUCAGUACCUAAAUGGGUGACCAAUUGGGAAUAUCAAGUACUGUAAG